rnacentral:rRNA from 1 species
GAUGAACGCUGACAGAAUGCUUAACACAUGCAAGUCAACUUGAACUUCGGUUUGGGUGGCGGACGGGUGAGUAACGCGUAAAGAACUUGCCUCACAGAUAGGGACAACAUUUGGAAACGAAUGCUAAUACCUGAUAUUAUGAUUUUAGGGCAUCCUAGAAUUAUGAAAGCUAUAUGCACUGUGAGAGAGCUUUGCAUCCCAUUAGCUAGUUGGAGAGGUAACGGCUCACCAAGGCGAUGAUGGGUAGCCGGCCUGAGAGGGUGAUCGGCCACAAGGGGACUGAGACACGGCCCUUACUCCUACGGGAGGCAGCAGUGGGGAAUAUUGGACAAUGGACCAAGAGUCUGAUCCAGCAAUUCUGUGUGCACGAUGAAGUUUUUCGGAAUGUAAAGUGCUUUCAGUUGGGAAGAAAAAAAUGACGGUACCAACAGAAGAAGUGACGGCUAAAUACGUGCCAGCAGCCGCGGUAAUACGUAUGUCACAAGCGUUAUCCGGAUUUAUUGGGCGUAAAGCGCGUCUAGGUGGUUAUAUAAGUCUGAUGUGAAAAUGCAGGGCUCAACUCUGUAUUGCGUUGGAAACUGUGUAACUAGAGUACUGGAGAGGUAAGCGGAACUACAAGUGUAGAGGUGAAAUUCGUAGAUAUUUGUAGGAAUGCCGAUGGGGAAGCCAGCUUACUGGACAGAUACUGACGCUGAAGCGCGAAAGCGUGGGUAGCAAACAGG